rnacentral:rRNA from 1 species
CCUACGGGGGGCAGCAGUGGGGAAUAUUGCACAAUGGGGGAAACCCUGAUGCAGCAACGCCGCGUGCGUGAUGACGGCCUUCGGGUUGUAACGCUCUGUCUUCAGGGACGAUAAUGACGGUACCUGAGGAGGAAGCCACGGCUAACUACGGUCCAGCAGCCGCGGUAAUACGUAGGUGGCGAGCGUUUUCCGGAUUUACGGGGCGUAAAGGGAGAGUAGGCGGACUUUUAAGUGGGAUGUGAAUUACUCGGGCUCAACUUGAGUGCUGCAUUGCAAACUGGAAGUCUAGAGUGCAGGAGAGGAGAAUGGAAUUCCUAGGGUAGCGGUGAAAUGCGUAGAGAUCGGGAGGAACACCAGUGGCGAAGGCGGCCUGCUGGGCUUUAACUGACGCUGAAGCACGAAAGCGUGGGUAGCAAACAGGAUUAGAUACCCGAGUAGUC